rnacentral:tRNA from 1 species
UCCACAGUAGCUCAGUGGUAGAGCUAUCGGCUGUUAACCGAUCGGUCGUAGGUUCGAGUCCUACCUGCGGAG